AAGUCGUAACAAGGUUUCCGUAGGUGAACCUGCGGAAGGAUCAUUAUUGAAACUUCUUUGGAAAUAGUACUGUUGCUGGCCUUGUAAUGAGGUAUGUGCACGUCUAUUACCAAUCUAUUCAUCCACCUGUGCACUUUUUGUAGGAGUUCAUUUGAGGCUAUUUUGUACUUGUGCAAUUUGGCUUUGAAAGGUUUCUAUGUUCUUAUAAACCCCAUUAGUAUGUCUCUGAAUGUUUUUUAUUGGGACUUGAUUGGCCCUUUAAACUUGUACAA
rnacentral:misc_RNA from 1 species